AUUAAAGUUCGUGUUUUGAAGCCGAAGUUUAACGAUGGUCACCUGUUUGUCAACAAUCGACAAAAAAUAAACAAAAAAGCAUGGAAAGAGAGCACGUGUUUAACAUGUAAAUUCAGAUAUUAAUAGUUUAUUUUAAGGACAUCCAUGCGUAUUGUGAUCACCGGAUUUUUACGAGAUGGGUCACACUGAGGUCACUUUGCAUACGGAAAAUAUGUCGGG
rnacentral:lncRNA from 1 species